UACGUAUGGGGCAAGCGUUAUCCGGAUUUACUGGGUGUAAAGGGAGCGUAGACGGCAUGGCAAGUCUGAUGUGAAAGCCCAGGGCUCAACCCUGGGACUGCAUUGGAAACUGUCUAGCUAGAGUGCGGGAGAGGUAAGUGGAAUUCCUAGUGUAGCGGUGAAAUGCGUAGAUAUUAGGAGGAACACCAGUGGCGAAGGCGGCUUACUGGACCGUAACUGACGUUGAGGCUCGAAAGCGUGGGGAGCAAACAGG
rnacentral:rRNA from 1 species